AUAAUUUUUAAUGAAAAAGAGCCUUACUAUAUGACACGAUGUUUAUCGAUUUUAACAGUUCAAACCAAUUCAAAUGGAUAUCCCUAAGGAACAUCUCUAUAAUGCCUCAGUGCUUCCGGUCCUUCCUUUCUCGAAAGCACUGCGAAGGCUGCCGGCAGCGUGGUUGUUCCUUUCGCGAGUUGGUGUCUGGCGCACAGCGCGAACGUCUCAUGAGCAAGAAGCCGUAGAGACGAUGCUCUCAAUGUUGGACACCGAAGUGAGGCAACUCAUCGGGCACAACGCCAAAAUGUCCCUGUUGUGUCCUGGCCCUGGGUCACGCGUGUCGCGCCUUGACAGCCGUGACCUUGAACGACCUUGACCGGCCGGGCCGGGCCGAGCGGCCGAGGGUCAGUAUCGUCCGAGCGGCGCUGCAGUGUCAACACAGCUGAGUGCCGCGAGGUGAGGUGAGGCGUGUUCGCCGAGACGGUCCGGCCACAGUGAAAUAGUGAAAUAGUGGUGUAAUCGAUAAUAUUGCGUGGCCAGUACGCGAGUGAGAUUGACCCUGUGCGCGACACCGAUUCAGAGACGCACAUAAGUUAACACCGUCGUGUCGGAUCGCUCGUACCGGUGAUGGGAGACAACGAGCAGCUGGAGCGUCUGAUGGCGCUCAUGGUUCAGCAGUCAGCAGGCUGCCAUGCUGGAGUAGCUCCUCCCCAGCCGGAUGCAGCUACCAGCUGCGCAAACUGUCUAGAGCGGCCAACCGGCUGUCGUCGCCUCCGCCGCUCCUAUGGCUAGACUUCGGUCUCACAUGGACUGCCGUCGGUAGUGUUCACAUGCCAGCCCAUACAUUUUACCUGUAUUAACUUUUUAAUGUCUGUGCCUGUGUAACUAUUGUACGUGCCUGUACUUAACAGUGUUUGAAUUGUACAUCGUUCGCACAGUCUGUGGACCGUGGGGAACGCCGCUUGACAUGCAUUUUUGCACUUACCUGCAUUCCGUGUUAAAAGUAAAGUAAAGGGACUGAGCUGUCGUGCACCGGGAGAUAUUAUGGUCUCUUGCUAAACGACACAGUUGAAACUCAGCACGCUGCACAGUG
rnacentral:lncRNA from 1 species